rnacentral:lncRNA from 1 species
ACAACAGAAGGGAGGGAGAGGAGAAGGAAAAUGUCCCAAGUCCAUAGACCGUUGUGAUAGAGACAGUUCCUCAAUGAAGUUACCUUGUCUCAAAUAACUCUAGUUUGUUUCAAAUUGACAGAAUUAAUCCAAACAAUCCUGUGUCAACUUGGUACACAAACAUAUCACGAUUAGACCAUAACUUACUUUGCUUAUCUAAAGAUCUUGUGUUCAUAUCACAAUAUAAAACAUAAUAAAACUCUAAUAAAAGUCCUGGUCUUUAAAAAAUUCAAACAUUUUUAAAAGUUUAGUCUCCUUGAAAUAACCAAAGUCUCUUAACUGAGUUUCUGUAUAAUGGAGGGAGAACAAAGCAACUUAAGUACUUUCUACUCUAAAGGGGAAGAGCCAGGUCAUAAAACCAGCUAUACUUAAUGAAAACCAAAGUCCAGCAGUGUAGCUCCAAAUCUUGCUGCUCAGUGCCUAAGUGUCUGGGACUAAACACAAUCUUUGGGGCUCCAAAGGGCUUGGGCACAUCCAUGCUUCUAUCUGUGCCUUGAGAACAUACAGCUUGUCUUAGAGGUUCAGGCCAGCUGCACUCCUGCUGCUGUCUUUGGUCAGUCCACAGGCCUGACAACUCUACUAUGCUGGGUCUCCACUGCAGCUGAGGCUUCGCCUUAGCCAAAGGCAUCCUGGCCUCUGCCAGUUCCAAGCCUCAGCUUCUUUCCAUGACUCCUUCAGUUCUGGCAUCUCUCCUGCAACUUAAGCUGCACCUUCACCAACGGCCCCUCUGACCUUUCAUGAGGAGUACCAAGUCUCAGCUGCUUCCCAUGACCCCUUCAGGUCUUCAAAAUCAAGUGGGAGACUUUUAUACACUCCUGUGUCCUGCUACUAGCUUUAAAUGCAGCUGUGGCCUUCUCUGGACCACAGCUUCUGUGUGCUGACCCUGAGGAAAUACACUUCCCAGAAGAUUUCACCUCAGUGAUGCUGGUCCCUUAAUUACAGCUGAUAUUUCAGCCCCAGCUCAAUAGCAGUUCCUGUGAAACAUGGAUUUUACUUCCUUAGAUUCUUAAUGCCAAAAAUCACACAAAUAUUCCAACAGUUUUUGUUUCCCUCUGAAACGUCAUAUGCCAGACUUCCAUCAUCUGUUUUUUCUCAGUAUUAUCUUUCAGAUUUUCACAACAGCUCAUUAAGCUCAGAGCACUGGCUGCUGGCUGCUCCCCGUCCUCCCCCAACAGUCUAAAAGGUAUAAAAAGAUCACAGUGACAUCCUACUUUCUGGUACCAAUUUCUGCUCCAGAUUGCUUUCUGUUUUGACAGUAAAACACUGACCAAAAGCAACCUGGGGGAUGUAGGAUAAAAGUUAUUCAGCAUACAGGUUAGAGUCUGUCAUUGAGGGAAGACAGGGCAGGAGUUUGAGGCAAGAACUGAAGCAGAAACCAUGGUGGAAUGCUGCUGCUUACUGGCUCACUUCCAUGGCUUAUUCAUUUUGCUUUCUUAUACAACUCAGAUCACCUGCCCAGAGAUGGCACCACCCACAGUGGUCUGGGACUCCCCCAUGUCAAUCCGAGUCAAGAAAAUGUCCUACAGACAUGCCCAUAGGCCAGUUUGGUGGAGGUGAGUCCUUAAUUGAGGUUCACUCUUCUCAGGGGACUGUAGUUUGUGUGAAGUUGACAAAGACUAAGCUACAUAGUCACCAUGCCCAGUUCUACUCAUCUUAACCCAGAGAAGUUUCUCCUCUGCUCUGCUGAGAGGCGGAAUUGACAGAAAUGCUUCUGUAAUUGGAACCCUGGGGUCCAGCAGGCCUGACCGGAUCCUUCACCUGGGAGUUAAUGGCUGCCUGUCAUAGAAUAGCUUCACUAGAUACUUGCUCAUCGGGAGUUUCUGUAGCUUUCCUCAGCCUUCCUGGAGAGAUGCCCUUUUCUUCUCUCUACUCAUGCCUUCUUUCUUCACUCUUCAUUUAUUGUAAUAUAAUGGAGCAAACUAGCUAAUAAUAUUAAAGCAAAGGGAUGCUAGAGAGCAUUAGGAUGAAGCUUUGGAGGGCAUGCCUAUGUAGUGCCCAAAUCUACCAGAGUACACCAUCUAGACAUUCUAGGAUGCACACGUCCCUCUGGUAGGAAAGCUGUAUUUUAAUAAUACUUUGUGGCUUUAAAAAUAUCAUC